GACGAACGCUGGCGGCGUGCCUAAUACAUGCAAGUUGAGCGCUGAAGGUUGGUACUUGUACCAACUGGAUGAGCAGCGAACGGGUGAGUAACGCGUGGGGAAUCUGCCUUUGAGCGGGGGACAACAUUUGGAAACGAAUGCUAAUACCGCAUAAAAACUUUAAACACAAGUUUUAAGUUUGAAAGAUGCAAUUGCAUCACUCAAAGAUGAUCCCGCGUUGUAUUAGCUAGUUGGUGAGGUAAAGGCUCACCAAGGCGAUGAUACAUAGCCGACCUGAAAGGGUGAUCGGCCACAUUGGGACUGAGACACGGCCCAAACUCCUACGGGAGGCAGCAGUAGGGAAUCUUCGGCAAUAGACGAAAGUCUGACCGAGCAACGCCGCGUGAGUGAAGAAGGGUUUCGGAUCGUAAAACUCUGUUGGUAGAGAAGAACGUUGGUGAGAGUGGAAAGCUCAUCAAGUGACGGUAACUACCCAGAAAGGGACGGCUAACUACGUG
rnacentral:rRNA from 1 species